ensembl:lncRNA
UCACGUGGCAAUGCCCAACCACAGUGGAGCCAGAAGAUACACUCCUCCCAAAGGGGGCACAAUGAACCCACAGCAACAGGAAGAGAUGUACAGUCCUCUUAUAGGCAAGCUGCAAAUAACUGGGAACAAUAAGAUCAUCUACCACAAGAAAUCUUUAAUAAUUUCCAAAAAAUUCUUUUCAUUUGAGUCUGUUUAAUUAAUGUGAGAUCAAUUACAGUUUAUCUUACAAUAACCAUAUUUUAGAUUUUAUCUUCCUUCAAGAUUCUAAUGUUGUCCCAAACCUCAGCUUACAUCUGAUGGUAGGCUGUUCUCAAGAUGGACAGCUGCAUAUAUUUUAUUCUAGUUUCUAUUUCCAAAAGAUACAUUUUCUCAUGUUGUCCCCAAAUUCUUGGACCUAAGGCCCCUCAACUCUAACUGACAUUAGUUUAGGAAAGAGAAGGUGAGGAGAAAGGGACUAAAGGUCAGUGUCCUACUCUCUGCCUGGUUGCUGAGUGAGUGAAUGAGCAAAUUAAUGGGCUAUGGCAACUACUGACUGUGUCCCUGGAGGGCCCGAUGAUCAGAAGUGUCAGGCUUUGACUUCAGCAGGAAGAAAUGGUGGUCAGUGUUUGAACAAACUUCCUGGUUUGAAGGAGUUUGGGGGCUGUGGCAGACAGACUCUUAAGGAGGCCUACAUGAUUUUGCCUCCUGGUGUUCACAUCCUUGUGUGAUCCCCACCCCUUGAAUGUGGGUCCUGUGACUUGCUUCUAACCAGUAGAACCUGACAAAUGUGACAGUGAUUGUGUGUACGUGAUGACAUGAUUAUAUCACACGAGAUUGUAACACUUGCCUUGCUGGCAUCUCUCACUCUCUUGCUGGCUUUGAAGAAGCAAGCUGCCAUGUUGUGGCUGCCUUUGUUGGAAGGUGAUGUGGCAAGGAACUGAGGACGGCCUCUAGGAGCUGAGGAUGGACUCCAGCUGACAGCCAGCAAGACACAGAAGCCUUCCAUCCUAAAGCUGUAAGGAACGGAAUCCUGCUAACAAAAGUGAUCCUUCCCCAGACGAGCCUCAGAUGAGGUGGAGCCCCGACCGACACCUUGAUUGCAGCCUUGUGAGACCCUACGCAGAGGACCCAGUCUGUGCCCAGACUCCUGACCCACAGAAACUGAGAAAACUGUGAGAUGCUGUUGGUAUCAUAAAGGCUUAUGGGAGCAUCCUACAAAGAGAAAAGGCUCAUGGCACAGAGCAAAGAGCCCAGGUAGAAUCCAGGUGAGGUCCUCUGCUCAGGGAUUCGCAAGGCUGAAGUCAAGGUGUUGGCCAGUCUGCGUUCUCAUCUGGACGCUCGGGGGAAGAAUGUGCUUCCAACUUCAUUCAGGUCCUGUCCACUCUCAAGAGGAAGGAAUUACAUAGGAUGUGUAUACCAGCGGGCAGAACUCUGGGGGGCCAUCUUAGAAUUCUGCCUACCACGGGGCUGUGGGAUUAAAUAAGAUACUGUGUGUAAAACGCUUAGCUCAGUGCCUGGCCCAGAGAAAGACGCAAUAAGUGGUAGUCAUAGUCACCACCAUCAAUACGCAUAGUAGACAAAAUAAUGGCCCCCCAAAGAUGUCCUUGGAAUCUGUCAAUAUGUUAUGCUACGUGGCAAAGAAAAUGAAGGCUGCAGACGGAAUCAAGCUGGCUAAUCAGCUGACCUUAAAAUCGGGAAAUCAUCCUGGAUUUGCUCCUUAUGGAACCACAAGGGUCCUUCAAAGUGGAAGAGUGAGGCAGAAGAAGAGUCAGAACCAGAGAGAUGGCAGCAUGAAAAGACUUGGCCCAACGUUGCUGGCUUUCAAAAUGGAAGAAGAGGACCACGAGCCAAGGAAUGUGGGCGGCAAGGAAUGUGGCCAAGCUGGAAGGGGAGAGGAAUAGAUUUUCCCCUGGAGCCUCCAGGAAAGAAUGCAAGCCUGCUGUCACCUUGACUGUAGCCCGGCGAGACCUGUUUCAGACUUUGGACGUCCAGAACUGUAAGAUAAUAAAUGUGUGUUGUUUUAAGCCACUGCAUUUGUAGUAAUUUGUUCCAGCAUCCAUAGGAAACUAAUACAAUGUUAUGUGUUUUAUCAGGGCUACAGAAAAAGAUUAAAAUGACAGAGUUCAGGGUGCAUAUUGAUUCAUUGGCCAUUUAUAAAAGCCGGUUGAGAAACUGUGAAGUGGAGAAUCUGAAAUGGAGUAGGUGACAGUCUUCCUAUGGCCACUUUGCUCGGUCUGGGUGUAUGUGGUGUGAGGCCUAUGGAGGACGAAGACAGAGCAGAGCACUUCCAAAGGAGACUGACAUGAACGGAGGAGAAACUAGAGCUGAAAAGACAGUGGUGAUGUGCGGAUUGGAUGGGGUUGUUGGGAAAUAGUUGAUGAACUGUCUUUGGAAGAGAACUUAGAAAAGUUGUGCACAGUCCCGAGGGGAGAUGUACUGGGCGGAAGCUACCGGAACUCAGCGCUCAGCUCAGUAUGAGUAAUUGCUUUCUGGAAGUGAUGAUUGUAUCAGUUAGGAACAACAGAUCAGAACUAACAGUGGCUUAAGCAAGAGAGAAGUGUCUUUUCUGUCAUGGUAAAUGCCUUCUGGAGGUGAGAAGUCCAGGACUGGUUUGAAGGUACCAUGAUGUUAGGGAUCCAGGCUCCUUGAUGCGCCUUCUCCCCUAGGUUGAUGCCCUCACCCACACGGUCCAAGGCUGAGAAACAUCACAUCCAUAUUCCCAGAAGCAGGAAGGCGGAAGGGCACGGCCUUUAAGUUCACAUCCCAGAAGUUGCGUCCAUCACUUUUGCUCUCAUCUCAAUGACAAGAACAUGGGCAUAUGGCCUCCUGGCUGCAUAGGAAACUCAUUGUGGGUGGCCACGCAACUUGGCAAAAAGUUGGAGGUUUCUAUCACCAUGGAAAAGGAGGGAAAAAUUGAUUUGGGGGUUGGGGGGGGCAAGACCAACAAGCUCUGCAUAGUGAUGGCUGGGUUAUUUUGGAGGUAGGAUUUUGCUCUCUGUGCUGGACCCUCCCUGUUUUGACACUCCAAUAGCACCCUGAUUCCCCUUUUCAGAAAGAACCUCUCUCCCGUGGAAGUCUGAAGGGACUGUCAGUGGAGGUGCUGCUCUCCCAUAGCCAAGAGCUCCAGCAUUCAUUCUAACUCCAGCCUCAGGGAGAGACUGAUUCCUCUUACUCCUCGAACUGCCUAGUACCUGCCAUUUUUCAGACCAGUUCUCAAACCUUUCCUUGUCUGUCCAAACAUUUCCCUUCUGCUUUGAUCAAUUAGAGGGGAUUUCUUUUGCUUGCAACCUAUCACUCCUUACAGAUACACUCUCCCCGGAGUCUUGCAGCAGAAGCUUGCAACAUCUUGGCAGAACUGGAAGCAAUCCUGUUGUAGGGCAGUGCAUGUUUUACUAUUGCACUGGACAGUCAGAAAGCAAAACACCCACCAAAUGAAAUGAUUUUGCAAAGAUUUACAUUGCCAUCACUAAGUCACUCAGAG